rnacentral:rRNA from 1 species
GACGAACGCUGGCGGCGUGCCUAAUACAUGCAAGUCGAACGCUGAAGAGAGGAGCUUUCUCUUCUUGGAUGAGUUGCGAACGGGUGAGUAACGCGUAGGUAACCUGCCUUGUAGCGGGGGAUAACUAUUGGAAACGUUAGAUAAUACCGCAUAACAAUGGAUGACACAUGUCAUUUAUUUGAAAGGGGCAAUUGCUCCACUACAAGCUGGACCUGCGUUGUAUUAGCUAGUAGGUGAGGUAAUGGACCACCUAGGCGACGAAACAUAGCCGGCCUGGAGGGGUUGUCCACCACACCGGGAAUGGGACAACGCCCAGGCCCCCAAGGGAGGCAGCAGGUGGGGAUCAUCGGAAAUGGGGGCAACGCCUGACGCAGAACGCCGGGGGGUGGAAGGAAGGUCUCGGGUCGGAAAGCUAUUUUGAGUGGCAAGAAAGGGUGGUAGGGUAAAAAGUUGACGCUUUGACGGUAGCUUAACAGAAAGGAACGGCUAACUACGUG